GGGUUGUGAGGUUAAGCGACUAAGCGUACACGGUGGAUGCCCUGGCAGUCAGAGGCGAUGAAGGACGUGCUAAUCUGCGAAAAGCGCCGGCGAGGUGAUAUGAACCUUUGACCCGGCGAUGUCCGAAUGGGGAAACCCAGUGUGUUCCGACACACUAUCGUUAACUGAAUACAUAGGUUAACGAGGCGAACCGGGGGAACUGAAACAUCUAAGUACCCCGAGGAAAAGAAAUCAACCGAGAUUCCCCCAGUAGCGGCGAGCGAACGGGGAGCAGCCCAGAGUCUGAAUCAGCUUGUGUGUUAGUGGAAGCGUCUGGAAAGUCGCACGGUACAGGGUGAAAGUCCCGUACACGAAAGCACACAGGUUGUGAACUCGAAGAGUAGGGCGGGACACGUGGUAUCCUGUCUGAAUAUGGGGGGACCAUCCUCCAAGGCUAAAUACUCCUGACUGACCGAUAGUGAACCAGUACCGUGAGGGAAAGGCGAAAAGAACCCCGGCGAGGGGAGUGAAAAAGAACCUGAAACCGUGUACGUACAAGCAGUGGGAGCCUCUUUUAUGGGGUGACUGCGUACCUUUUGUAUAAUGGGUCAGCGACUUAUAUUCUGUAGCAAGGUUAACCGUAUAGGGGAGCCGAAGGGAAACCGAGUCUUAACUGGGCGUUAAGUUGCAGGGUAUAGACCCGAAACCCGGUGAUCUAGCCAUGGGCAGGUUGAAGGUUGGGUAACACUAACUGGAGGACCGAACCGACUAAUGUUGAAAAAUUAGCGGAUGACUUGUGGCUGGGGGUGAAAGGCCAAUCAAACCGGGAGAUAGCUGGUUCUCCCCGAAAGCUAUUUAGGUAGCGCCUCGUGAACUCAUCUUCGGGGGUAGAGCACUGUUUCGGCUAGGGGGCCAUCCCGGCUUACCAACCCGAUGCAAACUACGAAUACCGAAGAAUGUUAUCACGGGAGACACACGGCGGGUGCUAACGUCCGUCGUGAAGAGGGAAACAACCCAGACCGCCAGCUAAGGUCCCAAAGUCAUGGUUAAGUGGGAAACGAUGUGGGAAGGCACAGACAGCCAGGAUGUUGGCUUAGAAGCAGCCAUCAUUUAAAGAAAGCGUAAUAGCUCACUGGUCGAGUCGGCCUGCGCGGAAGAUGUAACGGGGCUAAACCAUGCACCGAAGCUGCGGCAGCGACACUUAUGUGUUGUUGGGUAGGGGAGCGUUCUGUAAGCCGUUGAAGGUGUCCUGUGAGGGGUGCUGGAGGUAUCAGAAGUGCGAAUGCUGACAUAAGUAACGAUAAAGCGGGUGAAAAGCCCGCUCGCCGGAAGACCAAGGGUUCCUGUCCAACGUUAAUCGGGGCAGGGUGAGUCGACCCCUAAGGCGAGGCCGAAAGGCGUAGUCGAUGGGAAACAGGUUAAUAUUCCUGUACUUGGUGUUACUGCGAAGGGGGGACGGAGAAGGCUAUGUUAGCCGGGCGACGGUUGUCCCGGUUUAAGCAUGUAGGCGGAGGUUCCAGGUAAAUCCGGUUCCUUGUUAACGCUGAGGUGUGAUGACGAGGCACUACGGUGCUGAAGUAACAAAUGCCCUGCUUCCAGGAAAAGCCUCUAAGCAUCAGGUAACAUCAAAUCGUACCCCAAACCGACACAGGUGGUCAGGUAGAGAAUACCAAGGCGCUUGAGAGAACUCGGGUGAAGGAACUAGGCAAAAUGGUGCCGUAACUUCGGGAGAAGGCACGCUGAUAUGUAGGUGAAGCCCCUGCGGGUGGAGCUGAAAUCAGUCGAAGAUACCAGCUGGCUGCAACUGUUUAUUAAAAACACAGCACUGUGCAAACACGAAAGUGGACGUAUACGGUGUGACGCCUGCCCGGUGCCGGAAGGUUAAUUGAUGGGGUUAGCGGUAACGCGAAGCUCUUGAUCGAAGCCCCGGUAAACGGCGGCCGUAACUAUAACGGUCCUAAGGUAGCGAAAUUCCUUGUCGGGUAAGUUCCGACCUGCACGAAUGGCGUAAUGAUGGCCAGGCUGUCUCCACCCGAGACUCAGUGAAAUUGAACUCGCUGUGAAGAUGCAGUGUACCCGCGGCAAGACGGAAAGACCCCGUGAACCUUUACUAUAGCUUGACACUGAACACUGGUCCUUGAUGUGUAGGAUAGGUGGGAGGCUUUGAAGCGUGGACGCCAGUCUGCGUGGAGCCAACCUUGAAAUACCACCCUUUAAUGGCUGGUGUUCUAACGUAGACCCGUAAUCCGGGUUGCGGACAGUGUCUGGUGGGUAGUUUGACUGGGGCGGUCUCCUCCCAAAGAGUAACGGAGGAGCACGAAGGUUAGCUAAUCCUGGUCGGACAUCAGGAGGUUAGUGCAAUGGCAUAAGCUAGCUUGACUGCGAGAGUGACGGCUCGAGCAGGUGCGAAAGCAGGUCAUAGUGAUCCGGUGGUUCUGAAUGGAAGGGCCAUCGCUCAACGGAUAAAAGGUACUCCGGGGAUAACAGGCUGAUACCGCCCAAGAGUUCAUAUCGACGGCGGUGUUUGGCACCUCGAUGUCGGCUCAUCACAUCCUGGGGCUGAAGUAGGUCCCAAGGGUAUGGCUGUUCGCCAUUUAAAGUGGUACGCGAGCUGGGUUUAGAACGUCGUGAGACAGUUCGGUCCCUAUCUGCCGUGGGCGCUGGAGAAUUGAGGGGGGCUGCUCCUAGUACGAGAGGACCGGAGUGGACGCAUCACUGGUGUUCGGGUUGUCAUGCCAAUGGCACUGCCCGGUAGCUAAAUGCGGAAGAGAUAAGUGCUGAAAGCAUCUAAGCACGAAACUUGCCCCGAGAUGAGUUCUCCCUGAGACUUUAAGUCUCCUGAAGGAACGUUGAAGACUACGACGUUGAUAGGUCGGGUGUGUAAGCGCAGCGAUGCGUUGAGCUAACCGAUACUAAUGAACCGUGAGGCUUAACCUUACAACGCCGAAG
rnacentral:rRNA from 1 species